rnacentral:rRNA from 1 species
UGGGGAAUCUUGCACAAUGGGCGAAAGCCUGAUGCAGCAACGCCGCGUGGGGGAUGAAGGCUCUCGAGUUGUAAACCCCUUUCAGCAGGGACGAAUCUGACGGUACCUGCAGAAGAAGGCCCGGCCAACUACGUGCCAGCAGCCGCGGUAAUACGUAGGGGCCAAGCGUUGUCCGGAUUUAUUGGGCGUAAAGAGCUCGUAGGCUGUUCGGUAAGUCGGGUGUGAAAACUCUGGGCUCAACUCAGAGACGCCACUCGAUACUGCUGUGACUAGAGUCCGGUAGGGGAGUAUGGAAUUCCCGGUGUAGCGGUGAAAUGCGCAGAUAUCGGGAGGAACACCAGUGGCGAAGGCGGUACUCUGGGCCGGAACUGACGCUGAGGAGCGAAAGCGUGGGUAGCAAACAGG